rnacentral:rRNA from 1 species
CGAGCACGCGCGUGUGGCAUAUCAAUAAGCGGAGGAAAAGAAACUAACAAGGAUUCCCUUAGUAACGGCGAGUGAAGCGGGAAGAGCUCAAAUUUGAAAUCUUCAAGGUUCUACCUUGACGAAUUGUAGUUUAUAGAAGUGUUUUCUGUUAGUGGAGUGGCAAAAGUUCUUUGGAAUAGGACAUCAUAGAGGGUGAGAAUCCCGUAUUUGGUCAUUCCUCCUAGCGUUGUGAUACACUUUCAACGAGUCGGAUUGUUUGGGAAUGCAGUCCAAAAUGGGUGGUAAAUUUCAUCUAAAGCUAAAUAUUGGCGAGAGACCGAUAGCGAACAAGUACCGUGAGGGAAAGAUGAAAAGAACUUUGAAAAGAGAGUUAAACAGUACGUGAAAUUGUCAAAAGGGAAGCGUUUGACACCAGUGUUGUUUUUUCCGAAAAUCAAUUACGAAUGUUUUAGUUUUUGAGGAGUUAUGACUUCAUCGGCUUGCUUCUUUCUUUAUGAAACUUUCUUAAUGCACUUUUCGGUUAACAAGUCAACAUCAAUUUCUUUUGUUGUAAGAGGGUAUGAGGAAGGUGCUUUCUUUUCGGAGAAAGUGUUUAUAGCCUUGUACCUCUGCAAUCGGAGAGAUUGAGGUCUGCAGCGUAGAUCCUUCGGGGUUAGAUACGUUUGUGCUAAGUUAUAGCUUUUCAUAGACAACUUGUUGACUAUGUUAAGUCUUGUAGCUUACUCGCCUACUGCUAUUUUACCUACGCUUAGGAUGUUGAGUAGCGACAUACGCAC